rnacentral:rRNA from 1 species
AGAGUUUGAUCAUGGCUCAGAACGAACGCUGGCGGCGUGGAUAAGACAUGCAAGUCGAGCGCUGAUUGCAGGGUAGCAAUAUUCUGUAGUCGGAGCGGCGCAAGGGUGCGUAACACGUGGGUAAUCUGCCAUGAAGUUUGGAAUAACUUGCUGAAAGGCGAGCUAAUGCCGGAUGUGACAAUUGGAUGGCAUCAUUUAAUUGUCAAAGCUGGGGACCGUAAGGCCUGGCGCUUCAUGAUGAGCCCGCGGCCUAUCAGCUAGUUGGUGAGGUAACGGCUCACCAAGGCUAAGACGGGUAGCUGGUCUGAGAGGACGACCAGCCACACUGGAACUGAGACACGGUCCAGACACCUACGGGUGGCAGCAGUCGAGAAUUUUUCACAAUGGGCGCAAGCCUGAUGGAGCGACGCCGCGUGGGGGAUGAAUGGCUUCGGCCCGUAAACCCCUGUCAUUUGCGAACAAAUUGGUUCAAUUAACACCUGAACCAUUGAUAGUAGCGAAAGAGGAAGGGACGGCUAACUCUGUGCCAGCAGCCGCGGUAAUUC